UACGUAGGGGGCAAGCGUUGUCCGGAAUUAUUGGGGGUAAAGAGCUCGUAGGCGGUGUGUCGCGUCGGCCGUGAAAACCUGCAGCUUAACUGUGGGCUUGCGGUCGAUACGGGCAUCACUGGAGUUCGGCAGGGGAGACUGGAAUUCCUGGUGUAGCGGUGAAAUGCGCAGAUAUCAGGAGGAACACCGGUGGCGAAGGCGGGUCUCUGGGCCGAUACUGACGCUGAGGAGCGAAAGCGUGGGGAGCGAACAGG
rnacentral:rRNA from 1 species